UUUAACAAGCACUUGUCAUCAGAUUUGUUUGUUGAAGGGUAUAAAAGUGGGUAUUAAGCACCCACGCACGUUUCUGGAAUCCUCCUUGUCUGAUGAUCAGAUUGAAGUGUUGUUUAUUCAAAUGGGAAAAAGUGAGCUUUCAACUUUCUCAGUCAUAUGGAAGACAGGUUUAGUGCUACAAUAAAAUGAGAAUCAACAAAGUUGAUAUGGGUAUUUACCAAUAAAAGCCCCAGUUUUAGUGCUGAAAAGCUGUAAGAGGAUUAUGGUAGUUUGGGCUUCGCACUGACCGGGUUCAGGGAACUUGGCUUUGAAUCUAAUUGCCAUUGUUCCUUCCUUGCAGGCUGAAAAUCCUUCCGCUUGUUUCCUGAAGCAGGUCAGCAGUGGAUGUGUUGAAAAGGUGACUGACUGCACAGAUGGUGCUACACGUCUGACUUCCUGUGCAGUGCAGCUGAAGCAGGAAAUGAAAGAUCAAGUAUAUCCCAAGCAGAUACACUAUUGUCUGGGAUGCUGGUCUGGGAAGUCUGAUCCUGCCCAUGGAGACACAAACGGCCCUCACUGUGGCUCCAGGGCCCCCACCCACACCAGGCAUUACACCAACACCGAAGGGUCAGGGACUGGAGCUCUGAGAGACUGCUGGGGUGUAUUUAUGAACACUGUCUCCGAUGGUAAAGAUCAACGGCUGCUCUCGCCACAGUCACAUUUGGCCAGUUAACUGCCAUCACUAUAGGGAAAUAAUAGUGAACACAAUGGAAGCUAUAUUUUAUUUUAGUUCAUUAUAAAAGCAGGGUAAUAUA
ensembl:lncRNA